rnacentral:rRNA from 1 species
GACGAACCGUGCGAACGUUGUUCGGAAUCACUGGGCUUAAAGGGCGCGUAGGCGGUUCAUCAAGUCAGGGGUGAAAUCUUUCGGCUCAACCGGAAAAGUGCCCCUGAUACUGAUGAUCUCGAGGGAGGUAGGGGUCCGCGGAACUUCUGGUGGAGCGGUGAAAUGCGUUGAUAUCAGAAGGAACGCCGGUGGCGAAAGCGGCGGACGGGAUCUCUUCUGACGCUGAGGCGUGAAAGCCAGGGGAGCAAACGGG